rnacentral:lncRNA from 1 species
AAAUGAACAAAAGCCCCAAACGGUUUUACUUAAGGGAUUUUGUAAGGUCGAAAGGAUUUAUUUAAGAACAGAAUAGUUUUCUUUUUAGUUGGCCCAUAUAUGAUUGACUUUUGGAUUGUAUAACUGUGAGGUAGGGAGAUUCAAGUACAAGAAAGAGGAACCAUUAGCUGAGUGGGGUGGAUUGAGCUGGAGCAGAGGCAAGGCCAGUUUGGGGAGAGAGGAAAAAGGAGACCAGGGGUGGCAGGCUUUGGGCUGAGGGAGAAGCAGAGGAAAAGAACACAUCAGAAGAAAGGGACCUAACAGACCAGGAAGAGCCAGAGUUGGAGAAAAAGCAAAUGGCUAAUGAGACACCCACGAGAAUGCAGCUUUCAGAGAAGAAACUCAGUCGAGAUUUGCACACCCUGGACGAGGAAGAGAAGCAGAGAUGUUAUUUGGAGCUGGAUGUUAUUCCUUGCUCAAAGGGGAAAAAAAAAUUCUGUUUCAUGAAUGGAUGCCACGCAAGCACCCUUGAUCUUCAAUGAACAGGAUGUCAUGUGAUUCUGCAAACUGUUUCAGAACCAUUCAUGCUUCCGUCUAGAAUGUUCCCAGAGAGGGAAAAAAAAAAAAACAGUGCAGGGUGGAGGUUCCUGAGAAAUCCCCGACUUAGCACAAGUUCAUUUUUGUGAUGGGUUUAGAAAUCCAGUUAAUCUUUAAGUCAUUUCCAAGGCAGAACUGUAAUUUUGUCUAUUAAAAAUAUAGAAAAACAAAACAAGACAAAACCACUCCCUCUGUCCCUCAAAAUGUGUUUAUAAACGGCAUCAUGUGAAAAUCCAACUUGGAAAGAAUUCGAGUUUGACUUUAAACUGUUUGUUCACAAGCUCAUGGUUCUUGGAUUCAUUAACUCUUAUUUAUAAACUUAAGGUUGUUUUGGAACAGGAAGCAUAACAUUUACUAAAAAGAACAUUGAAAUGUAUUUGUCUUUUUAAUUAAAAAAAUACUAAGAAAUGAAGUCUGCAGAACACAAAAUCUUAAUAUUGCAGUAGGAUUUUCCCUCAUUAAAAAAUAUAUAUCAAACCAUUGUCUGAUUGAAACUAAACACAGUUAAACAUAUAUAGAUAUAAAUUAUAUAAUUUACAUUUAUUAUCCUUAAUCCAGGUACACAUGCAAACACAUUUGUAUAUAUAAAUUAUGUAUGAAAUACUCAUAGCUAAAAUUUAUGUGGCUAUAUUUGAAACUGUGACAUCAGAGAUAGGCUUAAAACAUGUUUAAUUACAUUACCAGCGUGUAUAAUCAGAGUUAGAACUACUGAUAGAUUUUGCUGACAAGAAUUAUGGAAAGUAGCAGCUAAUUCAGGAUUGUUCUAUUACAGAUAUUACAGGGGAAGCAAGUCUGGGAAGUGCAUUUAGAUUCCCAUAUCACUCACUUUUUGUGGGAAUUUUGUUAUUAAAAGGAAGCAUCAUUCUGAGACAAUUUAGGCAAGUAAAUUAUAGAAUAAAAUAGUCAUCGUUUUGGAUAAAUUCUUGUGA